rnacentral:rRNA from 1 species
AGUGAACGCUGGCGGUAGGCCUAACACAUGCAAGUCGAACGGCAGCACGGUAAGAGCUUGCUCUUACGGGUGGCGAGUGGCGGACGGGUGAGGAAUACAUAGGAAUCUACUUUUUCGUGGGGGAUAACGGAGGGAAACUUACGCUAAUACCGCAUACGACCUACGGGUGGAAGCAAGGGAUCUUCGGACCUUGCGCGAUUGGAUGAGCCGAUGUCGGAUUAGCUAGUUGGCGGGGUAAAGGCCCACCAAGGCGACGAUCCGUAGCUGGUCUGAGAGGAUGAUCAGCCACACUGGAACUGAGACACGGUCCAGACUCCUACGGGAGGCAGCAGUGGGGAAUAUUGGACAAUGGGGGCAAGCCUGAUCCAGCCAUACCGCGUGGGUGAAGAAGGCCUUCGGGUUGUAAAGCUCUUUUGUUGGGAAAGAAAAGCAGCAGGCUAAUACCCCGCGGUUCUGACGGUACCCAAAGAAUAAGCACCGGCUAACUUCGUG